rnacentral:rRNA from 1 species
UACGUAGGGCGCAAGCGUUGUCCGGAAUUACUGGGUGUAAAGCGCGUGUAGGCGGUAGGCCAAGUCUGCUGUGAAAUCGCCCGGCUCAACUGGGCGCGGUCGGUGGAAACUGGUCAACUGGAGGACGGUAGAGGCGAGUGGAAUUCCCGGUGUAGUGGUGAAAUGCGUAGAGAUCGGGAGGAACACCAGUGGCGAAGGCGGCUCGCUGGGCCGGUCCUGACGCUGAGACGCGAAGGCGUGGGGAGCGAACGGG